rnacentral:ncRNA from 1 species
UACCUGGUUGAUUCUGCCAGUAGUCAUAUGCUUGUCUCAAAGAUUAAGCCAUGCAAGUCUAAGUUUAAGCACCUAAACGGCGAAACUGCGAAUGGCUCAUUAAAUCAGUUAUCGUAUAUUUGAUAGUACCUACUACAUGGAUAACCGUGGUAAUUCUAGAGCUAAUACAUGCUUAAAAUCCCGACUUCGGAAGGGAUGUAUUUAUUAGAUUAAAAACCAAUGCCCUUCGGGGCUCACUGGUGAUUCAUAAUAACUUCUCGAAUCGCAUGGCCUUGUGCCGGCGAUGGUUCAUUCAAAUUUCUGCCCUAUCAACUUUCGACGGCUGGGUCUUGGCCAGCCGUGGUUACAACGGGUAACGGAGGGUUAGGGCUUGACCCCGGAGAAGGAGCCUGAGAGACGGCUACUACAUCCAAGGAAGGCAGCAGGCGCGCAAAUUACCCAAUCCCGACUCGGGGAGGUAGUGACAAUAAAUACUGAUACAGGGCUCUUUUGGGUCUUGUAAUUGGAAUGAGUACAAUUUAAAUCCCUUAACGAGGAACAAUUGGAGGGCAAGUCUGGUGAACAUUAGCUGUUUCAAAAUUUUGUCUGCUAGCGCCAGAAAGAGUCGGACGGGGUCACAUGUGGCCCUGUCCUGCUAGUCGAGCACCCAUAACAUCCGCGGGUGGGUGCCGGCGACAUAACCUGGAUCGGGGAAGGCUAAGGGCAACUGCCUAUGCUGAUCCCGAGCGGAGCCCUUGGGGAGUGAUCCCCCUGGGCCCGUGUAGAGCGCGCCAAGGUAUGGGCUUCUCUGUCGCCGACGUGCGGCAGGAGGCUUAAGGGACGUGCCGUCCGCCGGGAAACCGGAUUUCUGUCCCAAGCACCCGCGGUGCGAAGUUCAGGACACCUCGUGCAGCGGCACUGCCGCACUGAGGUGGGAGUCUGAUGCCACACGCAAGUACUGACACCGAACGUGACUUGCUGCAUCGUACGGCCAGCAGCCGCGGUAAUUCCAGCUCCAAUAGCGUAUAUUAAAGUUGUUGCAGUUAAAAAGCUCGUAGUUGAACCUUGGGCCUGGCUGGCCGGUCUGCCUCACCGCAUGCACUGGUCCGGCCGGGCCUUUCCCUCUGGGGAGCCGCAUGCCCUUCACUGGGUGUGUCGGGGAACCAGGACUUUUACUGUGAAAAAAUUAGAG